ACACGUGCGGGAGUGUUUCGGCGUUUGCUGAUGCGUUUCCGGAAAAUAUGUCCAAGUUCUCUGAGAUGAUAGUGCCGUUGAUCAAGAUAACAAGCGAGAAGGUGGAUGCGGUGAGGAAGAUGGCAGCCAUUUGUCUGGCAAAAC
rnacentral:ribozyme from 1 species